AUUGAACGCUGGCGGCAGGCCUAACACAUGCAAGUCGAACGAGUGGCGGACGGGUGAGAAAUGUCUGGAAAACUGCCUGAUGGAGGGGGAUAACUACUGAAAACGGUAGCUAAUACCGCAUACCAUCGGAUGUGCCCAUAUGGGAUUCGAGAGUAGGGGGGGUAAAGGCUCCCCUAGGCGACGAUCCCUAGCUGGUCUGAGAGGAUGCCCAGCCACACUGGAACUGAGACACGGUCCAGACUCCUACGGGAGGCAGCAGUGGGGAAUAUUGCACAAUGGGCGCAAGCCUGAUGCAGCCAUGCCGCGUGUGUGAAGAAGGCCUUCGGGUUGUAAAGCACUUUCAGCGGGGAGGCGUUACCCGCAGAAGAAGCACCGGCUAACUCCGUGCCAGCAGCCGCGGUAAUUC
rnacentral:rRNA from 1 species